CUUAAAGACUGCUCGUUAUCGAUCGUCAUCAUUGAUGGAUCAGACGAGUACUUACCCGUAUAUGAUGCAUUUCAAUCUGAAUGUACUACUGAAAUUGAAAUAAUUGACCUGUGUGAUGAUGAAGAAAAUAACUACUAUAACAAAUCGAUGGAAAAAGUGAAACGAUGGAAUUGCGAUCCCGCACUAUCUGUUUCGUAUUAUUGGGACGAUAUCAUCGUUGAUACAACCGUCAACACAAAUAAUUGUUCCAUAAUAAAUCUCAUCAGCGAUGACGGGAGUGAUGAGAUGAUGUCAAUCGACUAGCUAUGUAAUAACGAAGAUAAAAUAAAUAAUUAUACGCCAUAAUAAAAUAUUAUAAUGGAUAAAUCUACCAUAUUGGCUAUUAUGGAGUAUGGACUGCUUGUCGUCUAGUGAAAG